rnacentral:rRNA from 1 species
UACAGAGGUGGCAAGCGUUGUUCGGAAUUACUGGGCGUAAAGGGCGCGUAGGCGGCCUUCUAAGUCAGACGUGAAAUCCCCCGGCUUAACCUGGGAACUGCGUCUGAUACUGGGAGGCUUGAGUAUGGGAGAGGGAUGUAGAAUUCCAGGUGUAGCGGUGAAAUGCGUAGAUAUCUGGAGGAAUACCGGUGGCGAAGGCGGCAUCCUGGACCAUAACUGACGCUGAGGCGCGAAAGCUAGGGGAGCAACGGG